UACAGAGGUCUCAAGCGUUGUUCGGAAUUACUGGGCGUAAAGCGUGCGCAGGCGGCUUCUCAAGUCAGGGGUGAAAGCCCAGAGCUCAACUCUGGAAUUGCCUUUGAGACUGAGUGGCUUGAGUACGAGAGAGGUGAGUGGAAUUCCCAGUGUAGAGGUGAAAUUCGUAGAUAUUGGGAAGAACACCGGUGGCGAAGGCGGCUCACUGGCUCGUAACUGACGCUCAUGCACGACAGCGUGGGGAUCAAACAGG
rnacentral:rRNA from 1 species